CACUGUUAGACAUUUCUGUAAUUUUUACAGUUAUUUACUGUAUAUCACCCAGUAUAAUACUGUAAACUAUUUAUACAGUACAUAACUGUAAUUCGCGUUGCAUUUUGGGAAUUUUCUGUGACAUCAUACAUCAUAUACAGUAAUUUACUGUAUUUUUGAAAAUUGCUGUAUGCUACUGUAUAUUUUCUAACAGUCUUUUGGCGGCAUUUUCCUUAUUCACACAAAUCCUUAUUUUAUUUUUCUCAAAAUCAUCAUUUUUGACAAUUGUAUACACACAGGCGUUGACUUAUUUUAGCUAAGGAACCAUGUAGCAGCACAGGUGUUCAGAGGACCGAUUUCAGGUGUGCACAUAAGCUGAAGAGUUUUCAAACAAGACUUUCCCUGAGACAGCACAGCGGCGCUUUUCAGUUGAAGAUACACGAGAGGAGAGAAUGAAAAAAGACCAGCAAGGAUAAAUUAAGGAGGAUGUAACAAAAUACACUGCAAGAACUGGAAUGAGAGACAAGUGAGGAUGAAGAGGACAACAGAAUAUCCAUCCUUUCUUCACCACCUCACAGAGUUUGAGUGAAACAACUUGUAUUAGGACUCACAGGAUUAUUUUAUAACAAGACUGAUUAUCUUAUACCAGAAGUUUGGUAUUUUUUGAAGCUACUGUAUUAUUUCUUAUGACAAUUCAUUUUGAUGUGCAUUCAGAACUGUAAGUUGGUAAGUACAUUUACUGUAUUUACUGUAAGUAAAGGCUAAAGAGUAUAUCUCCUCUAGUUCUAAGUUCUAACAACGUUCCCAAAGGUCCCAAUAAUGUUAAGCCAACAUAAAAGUGUCCAGUUUUUAAAUUGUUUAGGAAUGUUUCUUGAUUGUCCGAAUGUUAGAGGAAUGUUACAUUUUAUUUUCAGACAAUGUCAUGUUUAAAUAUACUCACAAUGUUUAAAACACAUGUUUAGUAUAUUUUAUGAAUGUUUAUAUGCAAUAUUUUAACAUAACAUUAAGAAAUAAUGUUUUACAACAGUUUGUAAAUAAUAGAAUGUAAUGUUUUUUUAUCAUUACAAGCAAAAACAUUCAUAACGUUAUUGGGAUCUUUGGGAACUUUCAAGGAACGUUCUUAGAACCUUUCUCUGUGGUUGAGCAUUGUGUUAGCAUCAUAAAACGCCAAGGGUUCGAACAAGGGAAUGAUCAUGCUGAUAAAAAAUGUAUACUUUGCAUUGCACUGUAUGUUAUUUGCCUUUUUCUGUAAAUGUGAAGAUAAAUGUAAAGACAGACAGUCAUUGUUUCAUUUUAAACCAGUUCUAUUUUAAGAGAACUUAACUAGACUAAAUAGAAGGGUCACAAAAAUUUUAAUGUUGCUAUUAUGAUGCUGAUUUUGUGGUGUUAUGGGUUUUCUGGUUACAGUGGUAGUGGAUCAUGAUCACCUCUCUAGCUUCAAAAGUAGGAUGCAAAAUGUAUAACACCAAAUCAUUAUAGCAUAACUCCAUGUAACUUGACAUAAUUUAAAGUCAUCUAAAGGCAGACAUGAUUGCGUGUAAGUCCUAUGCCAAAGACUCCAAAUACUGCAUCUACACAUUCUUCCUGAUGUGUAUAUUUUGUUGGUAUAUCCUGGUUGUUGCAGGCCUGACAGUAAACUUGACUGUGAGCAUCCUAUCCAUCAGGUAUAGCUGUUUACUUGCAUUACUUAUUUAGAGAAAUGACGGGUCAAAAUUGAUUAUAUGGAUUAUAUUUUCAUCACCCCUUUUUGUAUGUCUUUGGGACACUUGAAAUAUAUAGCACGUAUAAUGUGGAGCCAUUUUAUAAUGCGGUCACAGACUACUCCCAUUGUAACUAGAAAACCAAAGAAAAUCAUUGUUUAAAUUAUAAAAUUAUAAUUUUUGGAUUAACUAAACCUGUAAUCAGUGUUAUACGUAUGUAUGUUUAUAAUUUGUGUUAUUUUAAAUGUAUUACUGCAAAUGAUUUGAAAUGUGUAUGUUUUAAAUGUAAUUUCACACAACUUCUUAAAGUAUUUGUAUUGUUUUAAAUAAAGGUUUCAAUAUUUAAAAUUGUCUCUUUGAAUUAAAUGUUAGCAGUAU